UCUCCCCUCUUCCUUCUAAGCCAAACACACCUUACAUCCCAAAAAAAAAAAAAAAAAUGUAACUGCUGUACUUGAGCUGCUACGGCUACCUAUUUCUCAAUUCAAAGCAUGCAAAUGCUGCUCCGGCGAUUACCUCCGGUGUCGAUAACGCUCACAGCGGCUCUUUCAUGGCGGCAGCUACCAUCCAACUUCUUUCGCACUGAACUGGACCUUUUAUCUCUGAAAUCAAUAUCCGCUCACCCUAAAAUUCCCACACUUUCCUUCUGUUUCACCACUCAAGUUUCUCCAGAUUUCACCAAUCUAAUCCUCGAGGACUCUUCAAAACGCGGUGCUUUAAAACCUGGUUUAUAUUUAGUAGGAACUCCAAUUGGAAACCUUGAAGACAUUACUUUGAGGGCUCUCCGUGUUCUAAAAUCUGCUCAAGUUAUACUUGCAGAAGACACUAGGCAUUCGGGAAAGUUACUUCAUUAUUACAACAUUACAACUCCACUUCUAUCAUAUCAUAAAUUCAACGAAUCUCAAAGAGAAUGCUUGGUUUUAAAGAGGUUGAAACAGGGCGAAAUCGUGGCACUUAUUAGUGAUGCAGGAAUGCCAGGCAUUAGUGAUCCUGGUGCACAAUUGGCAAAGUUAUGUGUGGAUGAAAAUAUUCCUGUUAUUCCUAUUCCUGGACCUUCGGCUGUUGUAGCUGCUAUCUCUGCUUCAGGCUUGUCCACAGAUGAGUUUACAUUUGUUGGAUUUCUUUCUAAGCAUGCCAGAUCCAGAAGAGAAAGACUGAUUGCUUCUGCAGAUGAAACAAGAACACAAAUAUUCUAUGUCCCGCCGCACAAACUUUCUAGGUUUCUUGAUGAGACUUCAACACUUUUUGGUGAUUCGAGACGGUGUGUCAUAGCUCGGGAGAUGACAAAAAUACAUGAAGAGUUUUGGCGGGGUACUCUGGGGGAAGCGAAAGAAGCAUUUGCAGAUCACCAACCUAAGGGUGAGAUCACACUGUUAAUUGAAGGCAAGAUAAAUUGCUUGGUUGAAACUCCUUCAGAGAGUCAGCUUGAGCAUGAUUUGGGAGACCUAAUCUCCAAUGGGCACAGUCUAUCUAUGGCAGUCAAAUUGGUGGCUGAAGGAACGUCGAUGAAGAGGAAAACCCUAUAUUCACUAGCAUUAAGGAAAUUUGGGAAGCAAGUUGAAGUAGAGGACAAAUCCGAUUAAUUCAAUAUUGUACUCUAAAAGUUACAUUGCUUGCAACUCGUCAAGUAUGCGGUUUAGAUGGUAAGGUGAAUUCUCAAAGAGCUGUCGACCUUUUGUUGCUGUAUGCUACUGAGGACCUUCUGUUGCUGUAAGAUCAAAUGCCCAGUAUCUAGACCUGUUCAUGGGCCUGGGUACCCGCCCAGGCCCGCACUUUUCGGGCCGGGCUUAGACAACAAUUUUUGUGUACAAGCCCGGUCCGGUCAGGCCCGGCCCGAGCCCGCCUAGGCCCGGCCCAUGAACAGUCAUGUUUCUGUAGUGAAGGAGGCAUCAAGGUGAUUUUGUCUACGAAUAAUUAUAUAAUAUCACAGUAAAAAGAAUAGCUUGAUCACCA